CCCUUAGAUGUCCUGGGCCGCACGCGCGUUACACUGAUGCAUUCAACGAGCCUAUAGCCUUGGCCGAGAGGCCUGGGCAAUCUUGUUAACGUGCAUCGUGAUAGGGAUAGAUUAUUGAAAUUAUUAAUCUUGAACGAGGAAUUCCUAGUAAACGCAGAUCAUCAAUCUGCAUUGAUUACGUCCCUGCCCUUUGUACACACCGCCCGUCGCACCUACCGAUUGGAUGGUCCGGUGAAGCCUCGGGAUUGUGGUUCUUGCCGCUUUAUUGUGGCGUGACCGCGAGAACUUGUCUAAACCUUAUCAUCUAGAGGAAGGUGAAGUCGUAACA
rnacentral:rRNA from 1 species